rnacentral:rRNA from 1 species
GACGAACGCUGGCGGCGUGCUUAACACAUGCAAGUCGAACGGAAAGGCCCUGCUUUUGUGGGGUGCUCGAGUGGCGAACGGGUGAGUAACACGUGAGUAACCUGCCCUUGACUUUGGGAUAACUUCAGGAAACUGGGGCUAAUACCGGAUAGGAGCUCCUGCUGCAUGGUGGGGGUUGGAAAGUUUCGGCGGUUGGGGAUGGACUCGCGGCUUAUCAGCUUGUUGGUGGGGUAGUGGCUUACCAAGGCUUUGACGGGUAGCCGGCCUGAGAGGGUGACCGGCCACAUUGGGCCUGAGAUACGGCCCAGACUCCUACGGGCGGCAGCAGUGGGGAAUAUUGCAGAAUGGGCGGAAGCCUGAUGCAGCAACGCCGCGUGCGGGAUGACGGCCUUCGGGUUGUAAACCGCUUUGGCCUGUGACGAAGCGUGAGUGGCGGUAAUGGGUAAAGAAGCACCGGCUAACUACGCG